UAGAAGAGAGAUAUCUGUUCUUGCCAUAUC
rnacentral:piRNA from 1 species